UGAGCCGUGAUGCCGCCUUCAUCCUGUGUGCUAUUGCUCGCAGAUUGGUCUGCAAGGUCUGAUGUUGCGCGUUGAGAUCGGCAGUCGGGCUACAACGGCAGGUUGUUGUCAACUGCGUUUUGGAGGAUGAUGUGUUGUCUCCUCCAGAAUACCACUUGAGAAGAAUGUAGAGACCUUCUCUGGAAAAUGGAGGACGAAUUCGACCUUCUUUUCAUAUUUCCUUGGUGUUAUAGGAUUUUCAUCGCUCAUCAUUUGAUUGUUCAGGUAUUUUCUCUCCUUUUCUUUAUAUUUCGAUUGAACAUGUUUCUCUUCCUUUCUAUUAUUAUGAAUGUGAGAAGGGGAAAAACUUCAGAAUGCUUGCCUGCAUAAGAUGGUCAGCCUGAUCAAAGUUGAAACAACACUUGAAUAAGAAGAUUCCAGCAGUGUUUUGUGAGACGUGUGGCAUCUCGAUUCUGUCGCCUACCAUGCUGCGUUGUUCGCUUGUGUGGUCUUCAUCAAUUCUAAAAGUGGUGGCCAGCUAAGAAGUUGUCUGAUCAAAUCAUAACGUGAACUUCUCAAUGAAGCACAGGUACCCAAUCAAGCAUUUGCUGAAGGUGUGAUGUUGAAGCUGUGCAUUCCCUUAACCAUAUGACCACUUUAAUCUAAUAUUUGAUGACGGCUUACUUCUUACAGGUCUUUUCGUAAGCUUUUUACAUGAUCUUUUCUCCCAAUAUUAUUGUCCCAUUUAUCUGCACAAUGAACUGAUACACAUGCCCUUUUCAUCCAAGUGUAGAUGUUGGUACCAGAAACAUGCUGUUUAGCGUGUACAAUUUUUUGAUGAUUUCAAACAUGUUUCUUGGCUUCGAAUUUUCAGGAUAGACCAGUCAUUCUCAUGUGUGCACCAUUUGCUGACAAAAAACAUUUCUACAACAAUUCGAUUAUCAAUAGGCUGAGCUGAGGUUUGGUGAACUGCACGUGUAGAGAGCGAUGAGGAGAUAUGGAGGAUCAAACUUGGACCUAAACCCACGAGAUCUAUAUAGAGGAAAGAAACGGAUAAAAGCUGCCGGGCCAAGUUGGUUUAGUCCUUCCAUUCUUACUGUGCUGAGUAGUUUCUUGGGAAAUUACCACGCCGCACUAUUUGUAGCAGACAGUUUCAUUGUCGUUAGGCUGUUUUGAACAGGUACGUGAGCAUAUAUAGAGGCUGAUUCGGUAAUGUCUGAUGGGUAGAAUAUAUUGUUGAGAACUAUGAUUAACCAUAACUUAACAGUAAUAUAUUUGCUGGUUUUUAGUUUGCUCGAACUGAAUGACAAUGGACAUACCUACCUUGAGAACGA